CUCCUCCAUAAUUUUAUGGGGACUACGAAAGAACAAGAGGUGGGGAGGCAAGUGGUGGCGGGUUGUCGCAAUCCACCAGUGUGGGGAUGGCAUCUCUGUUGGAUCUUGAUGCUGUGGCAACGGACAAGUCUUCUUCCUCUUUUAUUAUAUUGUUGUUCCUCUGUCAUUUUUUCCCUGCCUAUGUUCAGUGUUGUUACCAAUGACAAGUGGUGUAGAUGGUUUUCCCUCUGUGCAAGGUCAUUAGCCCAAUGCCUACAAAAAAAAUAACUACAGUAAUAGCAGAUUUUGAAGUUGUUAAAUCGUUAACAAACGAUUUGUAUGGGACACUCGGUUAAGGUAAUUUAAGUGCUUGAGUCUCGACACUUUAGAGAAUGUCUAGCGCGCAACUUGAAUAAGCCAUGUGCGAUUUUACCCGGGCUCCAGCGCAACUUUCCCUACCAGGUGCAGCCUCAGGUAGCCUAGGACCAUUCAUACAGGAGCAAGCAAGAACGUUACCUUUUUCUUUCCUUGGGAAAAGAAAAGAAGGACAAUCCCUUUCCACUGUUG